GAAACUAAAAACCCGGAUGAUAUAAAGGACAGUGAAUUUCCAGCUCAGCGUGACGACAUCAAGCGUUUAAGAGAUUCCAGCCCAGAUCCCCACCCAACGCCUCAGCUGAAGAAACAGCGUUGUGAACGCAGUCCACGGAGCGUUUACCGGAUUCGAAUAUGAGGACCCAGCUGUAGCAACUCUCCCCAGGUCUCCAUACAGACAUUUCUGGAAAUGGCUGGAUGUGAAAACCCAAAG